AGGCCUAACACAUGCAAGUCGAACGGUAACAUUUCUAGCUUGCUAUUAAGAUGACGAGUGGCGGACGGGUGAGUAAUGCUUGGGAACUUGCCUUUGCGAGGGGGAUAACAGUUGGAAACGACUGCUAAUACCGCAUAAUGUCUUCGGACCAAACGGGGCUUAGGCUCCGGCGCAAAGAGAGGCCCAAGUGAGAUUAGCUAGUUGGUAAGGUAAUGGCUUACCAAGGCGACGAUCUCUAGCUGUUCUGAGAGGAAGAUCAGCCACACUGGGACUGAGACACGGCCCAGACUCCUACGGGAGGCAGCAGUGGGGAAUAUUGCACAAUGGGGGAAACCCUGAUGCAGCCAUGCCGCGUGUGUGAAGAAGGCCUUCGGGUUGUAAAGCACUUUCAGUUGUGAGGAAAAGUUAGUAGUUAAUACCUGCUAGCCGUGACGUUAACAACAGAAGAAGCACCGGCUAACUCCGUGCCAGCAGCCGCGGUAAUACGGAGGGUGCGAGCGUUAAUCGGAAUUACUGGGCGUAAAGCGCACGCAGGCGGUUUGUUAAGCUAGAUGUGAAAGCCCCGGGCUCAACCUGGGAUGGUCAUUUAGAACUGGCAGACUAGAGUCUUGGAGAGGGGAGUGGAAUUCCAGGUGUAGCGGUGAAAUGCGUAGAUAUCUGGAGGAACAUCGUGGCGAAGGCGACUCCCUGGCCAAAGACUGACUCUCUUGUGCGAAAGUGUGGGUAGCGAACAGGAUUA
rnacentral:rRNA from 1 species